CAAUGGGAUGGACCAAGCAUUGUUGGCCCAAAUACCAUGGCCCGAGAUGAGCAAAUGGGGGUGCGAAUUGGAGGUGAACUGGAAAAGAACUAAUCCGCCCAAACCGAACUCCAGGUUAGCUUUACAACGGGAGUGAUCGAAGGAAUCCGAAACAAAUCGAGCGGCGCUCCCUCUAUGUUCAUCACGAUCAGCAUCGCGUUUCAUCGCAGUCAACAUCGCGCCUCCACAAAUUUCCGCUCACGUUGCAGCGUUUCAACACGCUCGCGGAUUCUCGUUCGUCAUCAUCGUAGUUCGAUUCCUUCGCUUACGUCAAACAUCGCCGUGCUUCGACAAUGGUCGUGGAGCCUCUCGUUCAACGUCCACCAUGGUCUUGUAAAUUUUGGAACAAGACGAACGUUUGGCAAUAGAUCCCUCACCAAGUCAAUUUCAAAAAUGGUUCAAAUCGAUUCAAGGACGCGCGUGCACAAAAGCGGAGUCGAAAUUGAAAUGCGAAACUCACCAGAUUUGUCGCGACUUGCAAGAACUGGUAUGAAUCUUUCCUCCUCUUGUGCUUCUUCCUCUACUUCACUUCUGCUCCAUAUCUUCUUCUCAAUCCUUACGUGCGUGUUGUUGUGUUAUUGUGCGAGGUUGUUGUGCGAUUGAUUUGCACCGCAAAAGAUGAAUGUGGGAUAUGAGGUGAAACAGAAGAGGAAGAUGAAGCAGGAAGAUGAUGAAGGUGGAGCAGAAUGAGGAGAUUUUGCAGAAUGAAGACUUGUUGCAGAAUAAACUGAGAGAGGAGAUUUUGCAGAAUGAAGACUUGUUGCAGAAUAAACUGAGAGGGUGAAGAUCGAAGGAUUGGAGGUGGAGAUUCAAGAAUGAAAAAUGCAGAAUCAUGAAGAAGAAGUGAUACAAUGAGUUGAAGAUGGGAUCUUGGAAGGCGUUUGGACGGAGUUUGGACGGAGUUCGGAAGGCAAAAACAAUAUCUCCUUGCAAUAACAUGGAUGGAUUUGUUUGCUUCAUGUAGCUUAUAAUUAGUUUGCAACUUUGGAAAUUCUGUAACUUUGGAUUGAAGUUUGUAGCUUAAAUGGGAAUGAACCAUGAAUUGGAAACAUAAACAUGGAUUAACUUGUAAUGAAUUAAAAAAUGAAUUUGUAUGGAAAGUCAAUAAGUUGUAUAUUAAAUGUGAAUCAUGGUAAGUUAAUGGGGUUA